rnacentral:rRNA from 1 species
GAUGAACGCUGGCGGCGUGCCUAAUACAUGCAAGUCGAGCGAACGGACGAGAAGCUUGCUUCUCUGAUGUUAGCGGCGGACGGGUGAGUAACACGUGGAUAACCUACCUAUAAGACUGGGAUAACUUCGGGAAACCGGAGCUAAUACCGGAUAAUAUUUUGAACCGCAUGGUUCAAAAGUGAAAGACGGUCUUGCUGUCACUUAUAGAUGGAUCCGCGCUGCAUUAGCUAGUUGGUAAGGUAACGGCUUACCAAGGCAACGAUGCAUAGCCGACCUGAGAGGGUGAUCGGCCACACUGGAACUGAGACACGGUCCAGACUCCUACGGGAGGCAGCAGUAGGGAAUCUUCCGCAAUGGGCGAAAGCCUGACGGAGCAACGCCGCGUGAGUGAUGAAGGUCUUCGGAUCGUAAAACUCUGUUAUUAGGGAAGAACAUAUGUGUAAGUAACUGUGCACAUCUUGACGGUACGUAAUCAGAAAGCCACGGCUAACUACGUG